rnacentral:misc_RNA from 1 species
UCUCAGUGCCUCACGCGCCCGCCUUGCCACCGUGUGUGCGUGAUCCCUCACCACCGCUCGCCCUCGUCGCUGCACGCCCCAGCAACACACCGUCUUCGCUUGCUGUCCUUCGCCUUGUUUCUCGGCGCCCUUUCCCAGGCUUCAUUGCUUGCCGCCGGCACCUCAACAGUCUCUGUCUCCCUCUGUCUCGCGCACAUCGUCGUGUGUGCGCCGUGUCGUUUGACAUUCACGGAUCGCCUCUCGGUGUCCCCCUCUCACCCCUGGCGAACACCUCUGCGCCCAUUCCCGCCUCCUCCUCCCCCUCUCCCCUAGACAACACCGCGACCAGCUGGGGCACAGCCACAGACGGAGUCAGACCGAGGCUCCCACGAACCACAAGCGAAGCAGGCGCAUACAACAGGAGCUAUGCCGGAGCGCGUGUCUGUGAAUCAGGAGGUGUACUACUUCGACACCAAGAGCGGGUGGCUGCGUGGCACCGUGAAGGAGGUCGAUGGCGCCAAGGUGACGGUAGAGGACAAUGCCUCGCAGAGUGCCGUGAAAGUGGCGGCCGAUAAUGUGCACGGCUACAUGUCGGAGAGCUACGAUAUCGAGGACGCGGACCUCUUCCACGUGAGCGAUCUGCACGUGGCCACUCUCUUGCACUGCGUCAAGGACCGUUUUGAGAAGCUGCACAAGCAGUACUCGCUCAUGGGGGAGAUGGUGCUCUCCGUCAACCCAUUUCGCCUCAUGCCCUUCAACAGCGAAGAGGAGCGUAAAGAGUAUCUGGCCCUGCCGGACCCCCGCAUGCUGCCCCCGCACAUCUGGCAGGUGGCGCACAAGGCCUUCAACGCGGUCUUCGUUCAGGGUCAGGGCAACCAGUCCAUCGUCAUCUCCGGCGAGUCCGGUUCCGGAAAAACCGAGAACGCCAAGAUGCUCAUCGCGUACCUGGGCCAACUCAGCUACAUGCACAGCAAGAACACCUCGCAGCGCAGCAUCGCGGACAAGAUCGACGAGAACCUAACCUGGAGCAACCCCGUCAUGGAGUCGUUCGGCAACGCCCGCACCGUGCGCAACGACAACUCUUCGCGCUUCGGCAAGUACAUCAAGCUCUACUUUGAUCCUGUAUCUGGCGUCAUGGUGGGGGGCCAGACCGUCACCUACUUGCUGGAGAGGAGCCGCAUCAUCAUGCAGUCUCCUGGCGAGCGCAACUACCACAUCUUCUACGAGAUGCUGGCGGGCCUGUCGCCGACAGAGAAGCAGCAGCUUGGCGGGCUCAAGACUGCCCAGGACUACAAGUGCCUGAACGGCGGUAACACCUUCAUCCGCCGCGGCGUGGAUGGCAAGCCGCUCGACGACGCGCACGAGUUUCAGAUGGUGCGCCGCGCGCUUUCCAUGAUCGGUGUGCCGCUGGAGACGCAGAACUGCAUGUUGCGCGUGCUGGCGGCCAUCCUGCACCUGAUGGAGGUCGAGUUCGAGCCCGACAACAACGACAAGGCACAGAUCGCAAACGGGACACCGCUCGCGACGGCCUGCGCGCUGCUCUGCCUGGAUGAGGCCAAGGUGCGCGAGUGCUUUCUCGUGAGGAGCAAGACGUCGCUUGUCACGAUCCUCGCCUCCAAGACGGAGGCGGAGGGCCUGCGCAACGCCUUCUGCAAGGGACUUUACGUUGGCAUGUUCGACCGGCUGGUCGAGUUUGUGAACGCCGCCAUUCAGCCCCGGGUGGACUGCAGCGACUGCAAGUACGUCGGCCUGCUCGAUAUUUUCGGCUUUGAAAACUUCACGCGCAACAGCUUCGAGCAGAUCUGCAUCAAUUACGCGAACGAGUCGCUGCAAAACCACUACAACAAGUACACGUUCAUCAACGACGAAGAGGAGUGCCGCCGCGAGGGUAUCCAGACCCCGAAUAUCGAGUUCCCAGACAACUCCGAGUGCGUCAACAUGCUCGAUGCGAAGCGCGUCGGCAUCUUCUCGAUGCUGGAUGAGGAGUGCAACUUCAAGGGCGGCAACACAGACCGCUUCACCACGAACCUUUGGGAGGAGUGGGCUGGCAGGAACCCGUACUUUGUGAAGCCGAAGAGCACGAUCCCGAACCAGUUCGGCGUGAACCACUACGCUGCCUUCGUCAACUACAACACGGCGGACUGGUUGGAGAAGAACACGGACGCACUCAAGGAAGACAUGUAUGAGUGCGUGAGUGAGUCCACCGACGAGUUCAUUCGGACCCUUCUCUCGACGGAGAAGAGCGAGGCACGCCGCAAGCAGACCGUUGCCAUCCGCUUCCAGCGCCAGCUCACGGACCUGCGCUCCGAGCUGGAGUCCACCGAGACACGGUUCAUUCGCUGCAUCAAGCCAAAUAUGGAGGCAAGCCCCUCGUUCCUCGAAAACCUUCUCGUCGGCUCGCAGCUUGAGUCCGCUGGUGUGCUGCAGACCAUCUCCCUCAAGCGUCAGGGCUACCCGGUGCGCCGUCCGCUGGAGCAGUUUUGCAGGUACUUCUACCUUGUCAUGUCCCGCACCACCGCCUCCUUGUUCAAGCAAGGGCGGUACAGCGACGCGUCCCAGGACUUUCUGCAGCGACACCAGCGCCUCUACAGCUGGGCGGAGCCCAACUACGCCGUUGGCAAGACGAAGGUGUUCCUCCGGGCUGAGGUGUGGUCGGCGCUGGAGCGGCUGGUGCUUCGUCGCCGCGCGCAGCUGCUGCACCGCUGCAAGCCCUACCUGCGCCGCUGGAUCGACGAGCUCCGCGAGCGCAGGCGUAUCGAGGAGCAGAAGCGGCUGGAGGCAGCGCGCAAGCUGCGCGAGGCGCGGGAGGCCAAGGCCGCCGACGCCGCCAAUGGUGUGCCGGCGGAGAAACUGCAGUGGGUGGAGGAGGCGUCGAACAUGUUCCCAGACUUCGACACGGACACGCUGCUCGACGUUGCCGUCGAGGCGGACACGCGCGAGGAGGCUCUCAGCGCCAUCCUUGCCAUCCAGGCUGACCGCCUUGACAAGCAGACAGCCUCUGGAUUCAUGGAAGUGAUGGCGGCUGCGAACGUGCGCCGUGGCGUCAUCAACAACUUUAUCUCGGCGGACAUCAAGACGGUGUCGGCGCUGUCGAGGCUGCAGCCGGAGGAUAUGAAGAGCCUCGGCGCCAGUGAGAUGGAGGUGGUGGCGAUCACGAAGAAGCUGGCGGAGCAGCAGGGGCAGCGCGUCAAGUACCAGCGCCUCGCCGAGGCCAUCGGCACGGACAGCGAAUAUGCCGCCGCUGGCGCCGUCCAACGCGCCGAGGUGGCUCGCCACCAGGAAGACUUCGACGCCAAAGUGCAGACCCUUGCCAGCAUGGGCUUUGAUGAGCCCACCGGCCGCCUCGUGCUGGCGCACUACAACGGCGACGUGCAGCGCACGGCGGCGCGCCUGCUUUAUGGCGUGGACAGCCGGAAGAUGAGGAACAACGCGCGCAAGCACAAGAACUUCAACACAACGGACCCCAACGUGCAGCAGCUCAUCUCUCUCGGUGCGACGAAGCAGGAUGCAAAGAUGGCACUACGUCGCAACAACGGAGACGCGAACGCCGCCGCUAAGAUGCUGUUCAAGGUGAGCUAGAAGAAAGGGAGGAGGGUGCGAUUGCCGCAGGCGGUGAGGUAGCCGUAUCCGAAGGGAACGAGCGAGAGAGAGAGAGAGAGAGACGGUGCGGGGGAGAUGAAUAGAGGGAGAGCGUCGUUUCCCCUCGCCUAGAGUCCUUAGCGCAAUGCCGAGCUGCUUGUGCUUCUCUCACCGGAGACAGGUGGACAGCACGAGUGCACACAGAAGCUGGCAAACAGUGUCGGACGUGCUAGCGGAGAGCUGCGCACGCGCAUGGUACCCCACCGUGACCGUUUUCUUUGAGGUCUGCUUGCCAUGCCGGUGGCUGCCACUAGCGGCCUCUCCUCCAACAUCGACGAUCUGAUGCCUCUUAUUCUCCCGCGUUUCAGUGUGUAUGUCUGCUGUCCUUUCCUCAGGUUGUGGUUUGUGCAUUGUUAUUUUUGCGCUGGCUGUUGUGGCUGUUAUCGGCUCCGCUGCGCUGGCGUACCAUGACUGCGCCUUCUCUCUCUUUCUCUUACGGCGCGUGGGACGGUUGGUGAGGCCAGCUGCGCGAUGCCUUUCAUGGGCGCUGCUAUUUCAGAUGUACGGCAAGUAUUUGCGAGUUGCCUUGUUUGAAACGCGCGACGCACAGGCAAGCAAGCAACUACCAUGUACAGUGACCGAGCCUUCCUGUGAAUAAUGUACACGCGAAUGCACAUGCCUGCCCGUGCGUGCGUGCGCAUGUACUCGUCCUCGUGUGCAUUCCCACUCUUUGCCUUCCUUGUUGUGUGCUCGUAGAGUUGCCCGCUUUUUUUUUUGCGACUUACAUAAAAAAGGAUGGCAGUGCCAGUUGUUUUCCUUUUUAUAUGCUUCCUGUGACUUUUUUCCCCAUCCGUACCUUUGCGCAACGGCUGUAGUGGCCCCCCGCAUGCACAUGUCUCACUCUCCUUCGCCAUCGCUGUCCACGUCCUCGCUUCAUCAGCCCUUACCUUCCCAUCCUUCGCUGCAUCCCGGGCAGCUCUGCCGUGCACACAUUUGAAUAGUUGUGCUUGUUUUCUUGGUGGCUUCGUGUCUGUGCUUUCACCACCUCUCGUGAUUCGCAGUUUCAAUCCAGCGUGAGACUGCCAUGUACAGUUGUUCUUCGGCUCCACAUAAGGAGUCGCGGGCCCUUCUUUCACCUGCUCGCCUUCCCUCCGUUCUCAGUCUCUUUUCUCAGCUCCUUUCUCCACGCUGUGUACUGCCAUCUCCGUCGUCCGUUCCGCCCCCACCAUCCUCUGUUUGUUUUUGUGUUGUUUCUCGGCCACGCGCUCUCCUGCGUAGGGGUGCGCGUGACCCCUUUCUUCUCUUCCCUUUUUUUUUGCUUUGACGCUCUCUGCGCUUGUCUGCCCCCUCCCCCCUCACACACACACGCACACCACCGCUUGGCAGACGUUGCUGUGUGCCCUCUCUGGAUGUUGCCUGCACCGCGCUUCCGCCCGCCUUCUCUCAUCGCCUGCCGGACUUGUUCCACUCUCGCCCUUCCCGUCGCGUAGUCCCCGGACCUUUUCGUCCCUCUUUCGUGGUGUUUUGCGCCCCACCCGCCCGCCUUUGUCUCGUGGGGUUUCGUUUCUCUCUCUGUGCGUGCAUGCGCUCUGGAAGUCAGCGUCACGUGCCUCUGUCGGCCUCGUGGAGGCUGGACAAGGCGCCAUGCGCCAGCGAUUUGACAACGCUUGUGCGUCUGUGAGCUUGUCCUGUGUCGAGGCUGAGCACGGGUGCGAACAGCGCGACAGGCAACCAAGGAUAGGUGUGCAGGAACGCGAAGGGCGCAUCUUUCUUGUACGUAGCUGUUACUAGGCGGAGGCCCCGUGCUUGCCUGUGGAUCGGAAUGUGGAUGCGUUAGCGUGCUUGUGUGUGCCUGUACGAGACCAGCGUCACCGUCGAGAGGCUGAUUAAGGGCGCUCGGCGAGGGCAUUUCCCACACACUCAGGUGUGGGCUUCACUGGAGUGAUGUAGAGACUCGCAUCAUGCUUUGGUUUUUUCGCCUGCUACCUUCUCCUCCAUUCCACCUCAGCGCCCACACACGCCUCUACGUCCCUGUAUACGCCUGUGCUCGGACGCCCACACCAUCGUUCGAUCAUCUUUGUUUCGUUUUCGCCUCUCCCGUAUUUUUUUCCCGUUGUAUGUACUUGUUUGCCGUGAAGGCAGGCGCAGCAUCUUCACAGACACGCAAGCGCAACCUCCAUCCUCUUCGUCGCUGUGCGUGAUCAUUCGUGAUGUCCAUGGGGUCUGUUUGCAGCCGCUGGCACCACCACCACCUUAUUUUUGUUCCCGUUGAGCCCUGACAAGGGUCGCCGUGAACGUCUGUCUUUUCAUCUUCGCCGCCUGUCUGUCUCCACUGCGUCUUCUCUGUUUCCACACCGUCGACAUGCCUUCCAGGUCGGCCCGCCUUUCCUCGAGGGCUUCUCUUUCAGUUUAGCCGCUGUCUCUGCAGGCGUCGAUGCAUGACGGCGUGCGUGUGCGCUUUUCCGUCCCUUUUUCGUCUGUGCUCACUUCUCUUCGGUCUUCUUUCUUCUGCCUCAUGCGUGUCGCAUCUGUGCUCACACAUGCACAUGCGCGCAUAUAUAUAUAUAUGUAUUUGUGUGUGUGUGUGUGCGUGUGUUUGCUUGAAUACCCGUCUGUCUCCAUUUGUUCUUGGUCGGAGCUUGUCUUUGUGUGCAUGUGCUACGGUAAAAUGGCGUGUCGUCGCCUUCGCAGACGGCGACACCGGCGACGCAGCUACCCCCUCGAAGCCCUGACCCCUCCCCUCUCCUUUCCUCGCCUCCGCUUCCCUUCUCGCCAAAGAAAGAAAGAUAAAGGAGUAUCGCUUUCAACGAGCUGCCUUGCCCAUCCACAGCGUGCGCGCGAAUGGUCCGGUGCGCCUUUGCCUCGGUGUGCGCGGCGUUUGUGUCUACUUGUGUGUACACUGGCGCCUGUGGGUCUUCGUACGUGUUGGUGUGGGCGCCAAGGGGAAUGAGACGUAUUUACGAGGUGAACAACAACAGAUGGCGAAG